GGCAAAAUGAGAGUCCAACUGUCUCUUAUAACAAAUCAAUUAAACUGAUCUCCUAGUACAAAAGCUAGAAUUUCCCCAUAAGACCAGAAGACCCUGUGAAGCUUUAAUUAACUUAUUAAACCUCAUAAUAACUAAUUUCGGUUGGGGCGACCUUGGAACAAAAAAGAACUUCCAAAAAAUGACUUAUUCAUAUAAUGAGGCAAACAAGCCAUAAUUAGACCCAGUAUACCUGACAAAUGAACCAAGUUACUCCAGGGAUAACAGCGCUAUCUUCUUCAAGAGCCCAUAUCAAAAAGAAGGUUUACGACCUCGAUGUUGGAUCAGGACAUCCUAGUUAUGCAACCGUUUCUAAGGGUUCGUUUGUUCAACGAUUAACAGUCCUACGUGA
rnacentral:rRNA from 1 species